UUAUAUUGUAGGCAGAGAAGAGUAAUUAGAAUUGAGCCCUAUGUGAGUAAUGUGUGUUGAUUACUGUUAGCUGACCAGUGAGAUGUGAAGGACAACCUAGAAGUUGGCAACUAUGAUUAAAACUGGACCUAUCAGGUGUACAGGCAUGUGAUUGCUGUAGAGGACCUUGUCAUUUAAAACUGGUUAUCUUCUGCAGAACACAGUUUCACACACACAUUCUAUCAUCUACUACUAAGGUAAAUAAAAUAAUUAUAUGAACAGUGAUAUCAGUUGACCACAGAUGUGCUACUUAAUACUUCAGUUCUAAAUGAAUGUAUUUUCUAUUGUGGAUUAAGCCAAUUCAUAGCUUAAGGCAAAUUUUUAUUAAUAAA
rnacentral:lncRNA from 1 species